rnacentral:lncRNA from 1 species
CCCGUCCCCCCGAAGCCGUGCGGCCGCGCCUCGCCACGUCGCGCGCAGGACACACCCCCGCAGCAGCACUCGCCGGCGUCGUCGACGACCACCACGCAAUCGCGCGGGCCUCCUCUGCCUCCACCUCCACUGCCACCGCAGGCAAGCGCACAGGAGGCCGGUUCCUCCGCCGCCGCCGCCGGCGACGGCGACGGGAAGGAGUCGCUUGACAACCCGUCGGUCGCAAUGGAGUGCUUCAUAUUCCUGUAGCACUACUAAUCCCAUUCAGUCAGUAAUUAAUCACUCCAGUGCUAAUUAGGAGUAAUUAAGCUUAGGAGGUGUUCUUGAUAAUACCGUGAGAUCACGCUGGUAAUUAAUUUCGUCUCUGGUGAUGGAUUUUUUUUUAUCCCCGGGAAGAAACCAAUCCCAGCUUUAUAUUAGCAGUGCCGUCCGAUACAGAUUGGAUGGCCUGGAUGUGCUGCUGUUGUGGUGGUCUUGGGUGUACUGGAUGAGAUGUGCUUCUGUAUGAUCUUGUGCAACAUUGAAGGCUAAAGCCACUGCUUGUGUUUGAUGGCAUCCAUGGCCCUCCAUUUUGGUUUCCUUCUUCUUCCAUGGUCCAUCAAACGCUGUGUGCACUUGGGGCAUUCAUUGAAUGAAUCCUUGCAUAGUGUAUGUACAUGUUCGAUGACAAAGGCAGCAGUUAAGUCGCUGUGACAUGUCCUGUGGAACUGAAUUGCCGAUGCAAUGCAUAAAAUCGUGCCUGCAUGUUGAAUGAACUUUGUAGUUGGAAGGAACCUAAACCUCCAGUCC